rnacentral:rRNA from 1 species
UUUAUGGAGAGUUUGAUCCUGGCUCAGGAUGAACGCUGGCGGCGUGCCUAAUACAUGCAAGUCGAGCGAACUGACGAGGAGCUUGCUCCUUUGACGUUAGCGGCGGACGGGUGAGUAACACGUGGGUAACCUACCUAUAAGACUGGAAUAACUCCGGGAAACCGGGGCUAAUGCCGGAUAACAUAUCGAACCGCAUGGUUCGAUAGUGAAAGACGGUCUUGCUGUCACUUAUAGAUGGACCCGCGCCGUAUUAGCUAGUUGGUGAGGUAACGGCUCACCAAGGCGACGAUACGUAGCCGACCUGAGAGGGUGAUCGGCCACACUGGAACUGAGACACGGUCCAGACUCCUACGGGAGGCAGC